AUGUUUGAUUUCAGGUUCCAUCUAUGUGAUUGGCAGGAUCAGUGAUGAGGGGGUGGAGCUUUGUUCAGCUGAAGUCUAUGACCCCAUUUCCCACCGUUGAUUUGGAUAUGGAUACGCCUACCUCCUGGAGAGUGUUGUUCACUUGGUUGGGUGUUGUGAAGGGGUUUCUCUUCACCAUGGAAAUUAUUCUGCGAUCAUCCACCACUGUUUUCUUCUCUUAAGGAUGGCUUGUUUCACCUGCAUGAAGAGCUCCUUUGACCGCAUGUUUUCUUCACAGCAAAAUCUUCCAAAUGCAAGCACCACACCGCAAAUCGACUCCAGGCCUUUUAUCUGCUGAAUUGAGAAUGACAUAACGAAGGAAUUGCCCACACCUGCCCAUGAAAUAGCCUUUGAGUCAAUUGUCCAAUUACUUUUGGUCCCUUUAAAAACAGGGUGGCACAUGUUAAGGAGCUGAAACUCCUAAACCCUUCAUCCAGUUUUAAUGUGGAUACCCUCAAAUGAAAGCUAAAAGUCUGGAAUUUAUGUCCAUGUCCAUUAUAUAACUAUAACUUGAAUAUGUUUCAGUA